UGCAUACUCCAGAUGAGGCCUCACCAGGGACCUAUAAAGAGGCAUAAUUAUGUUUUCAUCCCUUGAGUUAAUGCCAUGCUGUUAACUUGCACUGUUUGGCAUUUUACUGAUCCUUGUGUCUUAUUUGCAUAUAGGUUGAAGAAUGGCGCAACAGGAAAUUGUCGGACUGCAAGACACGUAUGGCCAUUGCUGUAAAAAAACAUAAGACUGCUACACAGCAAGUCGCCACUGUACUUUUAGAAGAAGAAGAAGAACAGUGGUUUGAUGUGUUCUAUAAAAAAUACGGCCAUCCUUUGUCAGGAGUGGGACAAGCCCGAAGACAUUCUUCAUCUCAUCAUCAGGGGAGCCGAUUCACAGUGUGACAAACGACAUUGCUAGACUUCAUCAGAAGUUUAAUUUGCGCCCUGUGACUAGUCAAGAGGCUAGAAGAAGAAUGGAGACAUACAUGGCCUCCCACUUAAAAACUGAUGCAGAGAGGUACUCGUUUGCCAAGAUGCUGGGCCAUUCAAAUUUGACUGCCGAAAGGGUUUAUCGAGAGAAGACCAUUGAAAAUAUGGUAGAAGCGGCAGAAGUCAUGAAGAAGGCAUUGUAUGGCCCCCAGGCUUCGACAUCAAGGUUUAAACAGAUGCCACAGCAGCCACUGGAAAACGGAAAGUACAGUAGUCUCUCGAGACUUGAGGGAGAAUGCUUUUGAGAGAUUCAAA